UUGCCCUACGGGACGCAGCAGUGAGGAAUAUUGGUCAAUGGGAGAGAUCCUGAACCAGCCAAGCCGCGUGAGGGAAGACGGCCCUAUGGGUUGUAAACCUCUUUUGUCGGAGAACAAAACCCGGGACGUGUCCCGGACUGCGUGUAUCCGAAGAAAAAGCAUCGGCUAACUCCGUGCCAGCAGCCGCGGUAAUACGGAGGAUGCGAGCGUUAUCCGGAUUUAUUGGGUUUAAAGUGUGCGUAGCCGUUCCGUUAUGUCAUCGGUAAACUUUCCGG
rnacentral:rRNA from 1 species